rnacentral:rRNA from 1 species
AUCGGGACUGAGACACUGCCCGGACCCCCACGGGGGGCUGCAGUAACGAAUAUUGCGCAAUGGACGAAAGUCUGACGCAGCGACGCCGUGUGCAGGAUGAAGCCCUUCGGGGUGUAAACUGCUGACAGGGUGAAGAAAGGCUUCGGCUUGAUCUAACCCAGAGGAAGGACCGGCUAACUUCGUGCCAGCAGCCGCGGUAAUACGAAGGGUCCAAGCGUUGUUCGGAAUUACUGGGCUUAAAGCGCACGCAGGCGGGAGACUAAGUGCCUUGUGAAAUCCCUCGGCUUAACCGAGGAACUGCUUGGCAUACUGGUUUCCUUGAGGCAAGUAAGGGCGCGUGGAACUCUAGGUGGAGCGGUGAAAUGCGUAGAUAUCUAGAGGAACGCCAGUGGAGAAGUCGGCGCGCUGGGCUUGUCCUGACGCUGAGGUGCGAAAGCGUGGGUAGCGAACAGGAUUAGAUACCCUGGUAGUCCACGCCGUAAACGAUGUCUACUAGGUCGCGGAGGUUCUGACGCUUUCGCGGCCGGAGUUAAAGCAUUAAGUAGACCGCCUGGGGAGUACGGUCGCAAGGCUAAAACUCAAAGGAAUUGACGGGGGCUCACACAAGCGGUGGAGCAUGUGGCUUAAUUCGAAGCAACGCGAAGAACCUUAUCCUGGGUUUGACAUGCAUGGAUGCCUGCUAUGAAAGUAGUUAGGUUGCCUUCGGGUGAAACAUGCACAGGUGCUGCAUGGCUGUCGUCAGCUCGUGUCGUGAGAUGUUGGGUUAAGUCCCUUAACGAGCGAAACCCUUGUCGCUAGUUACCAGCGGGUCAUGCCGGGGACUCUAGCGAGACUGCCGGUGUCAAACCGGAGGAAGGUGGGGAUGACGUCAAGUCCUCAUGGCCUUUAUGCCCAGGGCUGCACACGUGCUACAAUGGCGAGUACAAACCGACGCAAUACCGUGAGGUGGAGCAAAUCGGAAAAAACUCGCCCCAGUUCGGAUUGCAGGCUGCAACUCGCCUGCAUGAAGUUGGAAUCGCUAGUAAUCGCAGAUCAGCCAUGCUGCGGUGAAUAAGUUCCUGAGCNUUGUACACACCGCCCGUCAAGUCACGGAAGCUGGGAGUACCUGAAGUCGGGUAGUCAAC